rnacentral:lncRNA from 1 species
AAACAGCACACGUAUAAGAACAGAGAUGGAUUCCACAGAUAAAAUGAUAAGAUUAUGUAGUAUCUGUCGUCAACCAGGACACAACAAAAACAACUGUCCCAAUCAAGGAGCAUCAUCUAGAUCUUAAGCUUAUUGUAACAUGAUAUCUAGAUCUUAAGCUAUUUGUAACAUUGUAUCUAGAUCUUAUGCUUUUUGUAAC